CAUACAUAGUUUUAAAAAGUGGUUUAAAUUGUGUAUUUACUUUUUCAAUAGGAUACAACCAUAAAUAAACCAAGAAGUUUAUGAAGAAGGGAUCACUGGAUUUUGUCACUUUGGUACAAGAAACAGGAAAGGAUAUCAUCGACCACCUUACUUAUACAGAAGCAUAGGAGCUGUUGAAGGAAAUUGCUGCCAGACAGUCAGCAGUUAUCACUGACAGCCUGUCCUGGCCCAGCUUGGACCAUCCUCAAGCUAACCAUGAUGGUGUGUUUGCAAGAAUUGUCCAUUUGGUAGACCAUGAUGAAGACCAGCUUUGUUGUAGCAUGGCCUGACAAUACUGUACAAGCCAGAGACCAAAAAAGGGUUAAGUGGUGACUGAUCCUCUCAUCCUCCUUAUCCAGGAAACGUUUCGGAACAACGUGUUGGCACUGAAGAUGUGGAGGACACAGAUUGAUCUCAGUACAUCCUUUGGAUACAUGGACACCUUCAAAGGGACGACAACAAAACUGUACCUGUCUUUUUUUUGAAAGGAAGUAGUUAAUAAAAUUA